rnacentral:rRNA from 1 species
GAUGAACGCUGGCGGCGUGCUUAACACAUGCAAGUCGAACGGGAAACCUUUUAUUGAAGCUUCGGCAGAUUUAGCUGGUUUCUAGUGGCGGACGGGUGAGUAGCGCGUGGGUAACCUGCCCUAUACAGGGGGAUAACAACCAGAAAUGGUUGCUAAUACCGCAUAAGCGCACAGGGCCGCAUGGUCCGGUGUGAAAAACUCCGGUGGUAUAGGAUGGACCCGCGUUGGAUUAGCCAGUUGGCAGGGUAACGGCCUACCAAAGCGACGAUCCAUAGCCGGCCUGAGAGGGUGAACGGCCACAUUGGGACUGAGACACGGCCCAGACUCCUACGGGAGGCAGCAGUGGGGAAUAUUGCACAAUGGGGGAAACCCUGAUGCAGCGACGCCGCGUGAAGGAAGAAGUAUCUCGGUAUGUAAACUUCUAUCAGCAGGGAAGAUAGUGACGGUACCUGACUAAGAAGCCCCGGCUAACUACGUG